UACAGAGGGUGCGAGCGUUAAUCGGAAUUACUGGGCGUAAAGCGUGCGUAGACGGUUAUUUAAGUCGGGUGUGAAAGCCCCGGGCUCAACCUGGGAAUUGCAUUCGAGACUGAAUAGCUAGGGUACGGUAGAGGGAAGUGGAAUUUCCGGUGUAGCGGUGAAAUGCGUAGAUAUCGGAAGGAGCAUCAGUGGCGAAAGCGACUUCCUGGACCAGUACCGACGUUCAGGCACGAAAGCGUGGGGAGCAAACAGG
rnacentral:rRNA from 1 species